UGGCAGCGCCCGGGCCUCCCGCAGGGAAGCGCGCCGAGACCCUAGCCCUCCGUGCCGCGGCGAAUGUUUCUUUGUAAUUCCAGAUAACCCACCGCAAACACCUACCUGAAAAAGUUGUUCCGUGUCCCAACAAGGUCACCAUUGUUCAUCCUUAGACAAAGAUGGAAUAUUUCAGAAAAUAUAACAAAGAGCCAUGGAGAAUAAAUGGACUGGAAAGCCCCUUGUAAGUCUAAUCAAAGAAACUUUUCUCUCCCUUUGGGAUAGAGGAUCCU